CGCGUGUACUGGUCCGGCCGGGCCUUUCCCUCUGUGGAACCCCAUGCCCUUCACUGGGUGUGGCGGGGAAACAGGACUUUUACUUUGAAAAAAUUAGAGUGCUCCAGGCAGGCCUAUGCUCGAAUACAUUAGCAUGGAAUAAUAGAAUAGGACGUGUGGUUCUAUUUUGUUGGUUUCUAGGACCGCCGUAAUGAUUAAUAGGGACAGUCGGGGGCAUCAGUAUUCAAUUGUCAGAGGUGAAAUUCUUGGAUUUAUUGAAGACUAACUACUGCGAAAGCAUUUGCCAAGGAUGUUUUCAUUAAUCAGGAACGAAAGUUAGGGGAUCGAAGACGAUCAGAUACCGUCGUAGUCUUAACCAUAAACUAUGCCGACUAGGGAUCGGACGAUGUUAUUUUUUGACUCGUUCGGCACCUUACGAGAAAUCAAAGUGCUUGGGCUCCAGGGGGAGUAUGGUCGCAAGGCUGAAACUUAAAGAAAUUGACGGAAGGGCACCACCAGGGGUGGAGCCUGCGGCUUAAUUUGACUCAACACGGGGAAACUCACCAGGUCCAGACACAAUGAGGAUUGACAGAUUGAGAGCUCUUUCUUGAUUUUGUGGGUGGUGGUGCAUGGCCGUUCUUAGUUGGUGGAGUGAUUUGUCUGCUUAAUUGCGAUAACGAGCGAGACCUUAACCUGCUAAAUAGCCCGUAUUGCUUUGGCAGUACGCUGGCUUCUUAGAGGGACUAUCGG
rnacentral:rRNA from 1 species